CCUACGGGUGACAGCAGUGGGGAAUAUUGCGCAAUGGGCGAAAGCCUGACGCAGCGACGCCGCGUGAGGGAUGAAGGUCUUCGGAUCGUAAACCUCUGUCAGCAGGGAAGAACGGUCACUGUGCUAAUCAGCAGUUAAUUGACGGUACCUGCAAAGAAAGCACCGGCUAACUCCGUGCCAGCAGCCCCGGUAAUACGGAGGGUGCGAGCGUUAAUCGGAAUUACUGGGAGUAAAGCGCUCGUAGGCGGUAUGUCAAGUCAAGGGUGAAAUCACCGCGCUCAACGGUGGAACUGCCUUUGAAACGGGCAAACUGGAGUGUGUGAGAGGAUAGUGGAAUUCCAGGGGGAGGUGUGAAAUCCGUAGAUAUCUGGAGGAACAUCAGUGGCGAAGGCGACUAUCUGGCACAUAACUGACGCUGAGGAGCGAAAGCGUGGGUAGCAAACAGGAUUAGAUACCCCAGUAGUC
rnacentral:rRNA from 1 species